UACGUAGGGUGCGAGCGUUGUCCGGAAUUACUGGGCGUAAAGAGCUCGUAGGCGGCUUGUCGCGUUGUUCGUGAAAAUUUACCGCUCAACGGUGAACUUGCGGGCGAUACGGGCAGGCUAGAGUACUGCAGGGGAGACUGGAAUUCCUGGUGUAGCGGUGAAAUGCGCAGAUAUCAGGAGGAACACCGGUGGCGAAGGCGCACAUCUGGCCCGAUACUGACGCUGAGGCGCGAAAGCUAGGGGAGCAAACGGG
rnacentral:rRNA from 1 species